rnacentral:rRNA from 1 species
UGCAUAUCAAAAGCGGAGGAAAAGAAACUAACAAGGAUUCCCCUAGUAGCGGCGAGCGAAGCGGGAAAAGCUCAAAUUUGUAAUCUGGCGCUUUCGGCGUCCGAGUUGUAAUCUCGAGAAGUGUUUUCCGCGUCAGACCGCACACAAGUCUCCUGGAACGGAGCGUCACAGUGGUGAGAACCCAGUACACGGUGCGGAUGCCUGAUGCUUUGUGAUACACUUUCGAAGAGUCGAGUUGUUUGGGAAUGCAGCUCAAAUUGGGUGGUAAAUUCCAUCUAAAGCUAAAUAUUGGCGAGAGACCGAUAGCGAACAAGUACCGUGAGGGAAAGAUGAAAAGCACUUUGGAAAGAGAGUUAACAGUACGUGAAAUUGUUGGAAGGGAAACGCUUGAAGUCAGACUUGCUAUUCGGAGCUUGCUUCGAUUCGCAGGCCCGCAUCAGUUUUCCGGGGCGGAAAAUCGUAAGGAGAAGGUAGCAGUUUCGGCUGUGUUAUAGCUCUUUACUGGAUUCGUCCUGGGGGACUGAGGAACGCAGCGUGCUUUUUGCAUGGGCUUCGGCCCAUCCACGCUUAGGAUGCGGGUGGAAUGGCUUUAAACGACCCGUCUUGAA